rnacentral:misc_RNA from 1 species
GAUGAAGAACGUAGCGAAAUGCGAUAAGUAAUGUGAAUUGCAGAAUUCAGUGAAUCAUCGAAUCUUUGAACGCACAUUGCGCCCCCUGGUAUUCCGGGGGGCAUGCCUGUCCGAGCGUCAUUACAACCCUCAAGCUCAGCUUGGUAUUGGGCCCCGCCGCUCCGGCGGGCCCUAAAGUCAGUGGCGGUGCCGUCCGGCUCCGAGCGUAGUAAUUCUUCUCGCUCUGGAGGUCCGGUCGUGUGCUCGCCAGCAACCCCCAAUUUUUUUCAGGUUGACCUCGGAUCAGGUAGGGAUACCCGCUGAACUUAAGCAUAUCAACAAGCGGAGGA